CCUUCCUCAGUGUCACCAAGGAGAGAAUAGGUGACAUGUGACUGUCAGUCCUUGCACUAAGCUGAUGUCAGGAUGGAGCAGACCCUCCAUACUUCAGAGGAGGCUGGUGAUGGAUGUGCUGCCCCUACUGGACUGGCUCCACAGUCUGUCUUCCCACCACUGAGUGGCAGAGAUGAAGGUGACUGAGUUGGCUGGCUGCACAGGUACAGGAACAUGAGGUCAAGUUGACGGUUAAAUUGGAGCCAUCUCUGGAAGGAGAGAGCAUAUGAAGACACAGCAUUAUUUUUACCUUAAUUUG